GAAGGAGGAGGGGAACACGGGAGCUCGGCCUGUAGUCGGCGUGAGACCAGUGGGGGAAACAGAGCGUUUGGAAAGCCCGCCCCAAGGACGUGAGAGAGCAGAGGCGAGAGUAAGCGAAAAGACAACUUUGAAUUCCCUUCGUCUCGAACCAUCAGUGUCCCUCCGGAGGCGAGACGAAUCACACCUCAAAACUACGGCUUUUUUUAUCGAUUAUGAAUGUCUAUACCUAUUGUCGUCGGCGCGGGUGCCAGUGGACACACCGUUGAGGCUGGAAGGACAGAUAACAAGAAUUAUUAAAUACUAAGAAAGAGUAAACAAGGAAAAAAUAAAUAAAAUAGUGUGCGGAUCUCGAUAAUCUCUCGAAGCUUCAUCUUCUUAGUCCACUU